AUACGGAGGGUGCGAGCGUUGUUCGGAAUUACUGGGCGUAAAGCGGGUGUAGGCGGUGGAUCAAGUCAGAUGUGAAAGCCCUCGGCUCAACCGAGGAAGUGCAUCUGAAACUGGUUCACUAGAGUACGGGAGAGGAGAGUGGAAUUCCCAGUGUAGAGGUGAAAUUCGUAGAUAUUGGGAGGAACACCGGUGGCGAAGGCGGCUCUCUGGAACGAUACUGACGCUGAGACCCGAAAGCGUGGGGAGCAAACAGGAUUAGAUACCCGGGUAGUCC
rnacentral:rRNA from 1 species